rnacentral:lncRNA from 1 species
CCUGGCACAGCAUGGCUUGGCAAGCAGUACAUAAGUCUGCACCUGGGAUCCAAACCCGUGAACCCCGGGCCUCUGAAGUAGAGUAUGAGAACUUAACCACUAUGCUACUAGGGCAACCCUGCUCUCUUUUAUUUUCUUUGUCUUGUUUCCCCAGCAACUUCUUGACUCCUCCAGACUGACCAUGUCUCUGUCUCUCAUGCUCUUCAAGCCCCUCUUACCUUUGGACAGUUUUCCUCUGCCUGGAGGUUUUCCUUCCCUUACUUGCUUAGUUACUGCCUUUCUUCUCAUCUGUGCUGAAGCUUUUUCUGAUCUAUCUGACUAGAACUCUGCCUCAAAGCCAUCCCCCAUUACAAGAUCUUAUAAUACCCUUUCUCUCUCCUUAACCACAGUUUCAACAUUUGCCUUUUCACAUUUCUCUGUGCUGUCUUUGGUUAAUAUGUCCCACCUCCACCAGCUGAAUUUGGUUUAUGGGGUGUGGAAACUCCUCCUAGUUUCAUUCACAUGUGUCUCCCCACUGUGCUCAACAACUAUAUGUAGAAUUGAUGAAUGUAUGUGAUAUUAUAAUUUUAUUCUGUUCUUUCUUUAUUCAUUAAUUGAACCCCCAUGAGGUCAAUUAUGGACUUUUCAAGAUCGUGGACUGACUGUCCUCUCUUCCUCUUGACUUCCCUCAUAUCAAGCCCAGUAUCAGUCUGAAAAAGGCAUUCAAAAACUGCUGAUUAAAAGAAACUAAGUUGUGUGGUGAGUGUGGAUGACCAAUUAUUUAAAACAAAAUUGCCUGUUGAUACUGUUGCUGGUCCAAGGACUGCACUUUGAGAAUCACUGUCCUAGAUCCUUACCUGUUUGGAUAUCUUUAAGGCUUUUGAGGAAAAAGUUCACCAACUGUCUCUAACAGUACCCAGAUUAGAAAUAACUCCAUCAUGAAAGAAAGGACUUCAGCAGAGUGAUUACAACUAUGGGUUCUGGAACCAAACCUUCUAGGAUUCCUUUUCUGUGGACACAAGUUAAUUAAGCUCCCUCUGAUUAAGUUCCAUCAUCUCCUCUGGGAAUAUCAACAGAUCCUUCAUCAUGGUGUUAUUGUGAAAAUUUCAUAAGAUAAUAAAAACCAUCUAGUGCAGAGCUUGGCCCACAGUAAGCUCUCAGUGUGGUGUUUGUCAUCAACAAGAUCAUCAGUCUUUUCAUCAUCAAUAAACUGAUGCUGUGACUAAUAAGAGCAUAUGAGAUUCAGAGGCUGACUCAGCUCUAAUGCAAAUUUUCAGCAAGUAUGGCAUCCAGCUGAGCAAUUAUGCCUCAGCCCUGUGGUACAUGAGGAGCAAGGGAGACAUAGAUGAAUAUCAUGACCCCGUUCCUUUCUAAGCCAUCAGAAAUAAAGUCCUUCUUCGAUGUCCCAACGGUCUUG